rnacentral:rRNA from 1 species
AUCUUUUAGACAACAUUAAAAGUGAGCUCUGCUCCAUGCUUCAGUAAAUAGCCGCAGUAUCCUGACUGUGCAAAGGUAGCAUAAUAAUUAGUCUUGUAAUUCAAGACCGGAAUGAAAGAGUCCACCAAAGAGGCUUUCUCUUAGUUGUUUCAAUUUAAAUUUACCUUUUAGUAAAAAGGCUAAAAUUUUCCUCAAAGACAAGAAGACCCUGUAAAACUUUACAUAGAACAGUCUCGUAAACUUCUAAUAUGUUCAACUGGGGCGGUAGAAAAACUUAACAUUUUCAAAUCUUUAAAAUCCAUUUCCUAUACCCAAAACUUUUGAAAAUUAAACAAGCUACUUCAGGGAUAACAGCGUUAUAUACUUUAAAAGUCCUCAUUGACAAGUAUGAUUGCGACCUCGAUGUUGGAUUAAGUUCCCCCCACCCCGCAAGAGGGGUGAAGGGAGGUCUGUUCGACCUUUAAACCCUUCCA